rnacentral:rRNA from 1 species
UACAGAGGGGGCAAGCGUUAUUCGGAAUUAUUGGGCGUAAAGGGCGCGUAGGCGGCUUUGCAAGUGACGGGUGAAAUCCCUCGGCUUAACCGAGGAACUGCCUGUCAGACUGCAUGGCUUGAGACCGGGAGAGGUGAGUGGAAUUCCCAGUGUAGCGGUGAAAUGCGUAGAUAUUGGGAGGAACACCAGUGGCGAAGGCGGCUCACUGGCCCGAUACUGACGCUGAGGCACGAAAGCGUGGGGAGCAAACAGG